rnacentral:rRNA from 1 species
GACGGAGGAUGCAAGCGUUAUCCGGAAUGAUUGGGCGUAAAGCGUCUGCAGGUGGCAGUUCAAGUCUGCUGUCAAAGACCGGGGCUUAACUUCGGAAAGGCAGUGGAAACUGAACAGCUAGAGUAUGGUAGGGGCAGAGGGAAUUCCUGGUGUAGCGGUGAAAUGCGUAGAGAUCAGGAAGAACAUCGGUGGCGAAGGCGAGUCUCUGGACGACACCUGACACUGAGGCACGAAAGCUAGGGGAGCAAACAGG